rnacentral:rRNA from 1 species
CGGCGGACGGGUGAGUAACGCGUGGGUAACCUGCCUCAUACAGGGGGAUAACGGUUAGAAAUGACUGCUAAUACCGCAUAAGACCACAGCACCGCAUGGUGCGGGGGUAAAAACUCCGGUGGUAUGAGAUGGACCCGCGUCUGAUUAGCUAGUUGGUAAGGUAACGGCUUACCAAGGCGACGAUCAGUAGCCGACCUGAGAGGGUGACCGGCCACAUUGGGACUGAGACACGGCCCAA